GCCUACAUUUAGGCUGUUCUUCAACAAUCUUGUCUGAUUUUGGAAGUUAAGUAGGAUUGGACCUGGUCUGUACUAUGAUGGGAGACCACUUAAGAAUACCAGGUACUGUCACCA
rnacentral:rRNA from 1 species